rnacentral:rRNA from 1 species
GGGUUGUGAGGUUAAGCGACUAAGCGUACACGGUGGAUGCCCUGGCAGUCAGAGGCGAUGAAGGACGUGCUAAUCUGCGAUAAGCGUCGGUAAGGUGAUAUGAACCGUUAUAACCGGCGAUUUCCGAAUGGGGAAACCCAGUGUGUUUCGACACACUAUCAUUAACUGAAUCCAUAGGUUAAUGAGGCGAACCGGGGGAACUGAAACAUCUAAGUACCCCGAGGAAAAGAAAUCAACCGAGAUUCCCCCAGUAGCGGCGAGCGAACGGGGAGCAGCCCAGAGCCUGAAUCAGUGUGUGUGUUAGUGGAAGCGUCUGGAAAGGCGCGCGAUACAGGGUGACAGCCCCGUACACAAAAAUGCACAUGCUGUGAGCUCGAUGAGUAGGGCGGGACACGUGGUAUCCUGUCUGAAUAUGGGGGGACCAUCCUCCAAGGCUAAAUACUCCUGACUGACCGAUAGUGAACCAGUACCGUGAGGGAAAGGCGAAAAGAACCCCGGCGAGGGGAGUGAAAAAGAACCUGAAACCGUGUACGUACAAGCAGUGGGAGCACGCUUAGGCGUGUGACUGCGUACCUUUUGUAUAAUGGGUCAGCGACUUAUAUUCUGUAGCAAGGUUAACCGAAUAGGGGAGCCGAAGGGAAACCGAGUCUUAACUGGGCGUUAAGUUGCAGGGUAUAGACCCGAAACCCGGUGAUCUAGCCAUGGGCAGGUUGAAGGUUGGGUAACACUAACUGGAGGACCGAACCGACUAAUGUUGAAAAAUUAGCGGAUGACUUGUGGCUGGGGGUGAAAGGCCAAUCAAACCGGGAGAUAGCUGGUUCUCCCCGAAAGCUAUUUAGGUAGCGCCUCGUGAAUUCAUCUCCGGGGGUAGAGCACUGUUUCGGCAAGGGGGUCAUCCCGACUUACCAACCCGAUGCAAACUGCGAAUACCGGAGAAUGUUAUCACGGGAGACACACGGCGGGUGCUAACGUCCGUCGUGAAGAGGGAAACAACCCAGACCGCCAGCUAAGGUCCCAAAGUCAUGGUUAAGUGGGAAACGAUGUGGGAAGGCCCAGACAGCCAGGAUGUUGGCUUAGAAGCAGCCAUCAUUUAAAGAAAGCGUAAUAGCUCACUGGUCGAGUCGGCCUGCGCGGAAGAUGUAACGGGGCUAAACCAUGCACCGAAGCUGCGGCAGCGACACUAUGUGUUGUUGGGUAGGGGAGCGUUCUGUAAGCCUGUGAAGGUGUGCUGUGAGGCAUGCUGGAGGUAUCAGAAGUGCGAAUGCUGACAUAAGUAACGAUAAAGCGGGUGAAAAGCCCGCUCGCCGGAAGACCAAGGGUUCCUGUCCAACGUUAAUCGGGGCAGGGUGAGUCGACCCCUAAGGCGAGGCCGAAAGGCGUAGUCGAUGGGAAACAGGUUAAUAUUCCUGUACUUGGUGUUACUGCGAAGGGGGGACGGAGAAGGCUAUGUUGGCCGGGCGACGGUUGUCCCGGUUUAAGCGUGUAGGCUGGUUUUCCAGGCAAAUCCGGAAAAUCAAGGCUGAGGCGUGAUGACGAGGCACUACGGUGCUGAAGCAACAAAUGCCCUGCUUCCAGGAAAAGCCUCUAAGCAUCAGGUAACAUCAAAUCGUACCCCAAACCGACACAGGUGGUCAGGUAGAGAAUACCAAGGCGCUUGAGAGAACUCGGGUGAAGGAACUAGGCAAAAUGGUGCCGUAACUUCGGGAGAAGGCACGCUGAUAUGUAGGUGAGGUCCCUCGCGGAUGGAGCUGAAAUCAGUCGAAGAUACCAGCUGGCUGCAACUGUUUAUUAAAAACACAGCACUGUGCAAACACGAAAGUGGACGUAUACGGUGUGACGCCUGCCCGGUGCCGGAAGGUUAAUUGAUGGGGUCAGCGCAAGCGAAGCUCUUGAUCGAAGCCCCGGUAAACGGCGGCCGUAACUAUAACGGUCCUAAGGUAGCGAAAUUCCUUGUCGGGUAAGUUCCGACCUGCACGAAUGGCGUAAUGAUGGCCAGGCUGUCUCCACCCGAGACUCAGUGAAAUUGAACUCGCUGUGAAGAUGCAGUGUACCCGCGGCAAGACGGAAAGACCCCGUGAACCUUUACUAUAGCUUGACACUGAACAUUGAGCCUUGAUGUGUAGGAUAGGUGGGAGGCUUAGAAGUGUGGACGCCAGUCUGCAUGGAGCCGACCUUGAAAUACCACCCUUUAAUGUUUGAUGUUCUAACGUUGACCCGUAAUCCGGGUUGCGGACAGUGUCUGGUGGGUAGUUUGACUGGGGCGGUCUCCUCCUAAAGAGUAACGGAGGAGCACGAAGGUUGGCUAAUCCUGGUCGGACAUCAGGAGGUUAGUGCAAUGGCAUAAGCCAGCUUGACUGCGAGCGUGACGGCGCGAGCAGGUGCGAAAGCAGGUCAUAGUGAUCCGGUGGUUCUGAAUGGAAGGGCCAUCGCUCAACGGAUAAAAGGUACUCCGGGGAUAACAGGCUGAUACCGCCCAAGAGUUCAUAUCGACGGCGGUGUUUGGCACCUCGAUGUCGGCUCAUCACAUCCUGGGGCUGAAGUAGGUCCCAAGGGUAUGGCUGUUCGCCAUUUAAAGUGGUACGCGAGCUGGGUUUAGAACGUCGUGAGACAGUUCGGUCCCUAUCUGCCGUGGGCGCUGGAGAACUGAGGGGGGCUGCUCCUAGUACGAGAGGACCGGAGUGGACGCAUCACUGGUGUUCGGGUUGUCAUGCCAAUGGCACUGCCCGGUAGCUAAAUGCGGAAGAGAUAAGUGCUGAAAGCAUCUAAGCACGAAACUUGCCCCGAGAUGAGUUCUCCCUGAC